CGUUGCCGCCAAAACUGGCGCGUCGCGCCGAGGUGCUGUCGAAAGCGGCCUGACGCUAGACGAAAUUUCUCGCGACCGUCAAAUGGAACCCCGCGGGAGUUAAGUUUUAACCGUUUAUAUCGUUGAAACGGAGCGGUCCGGAGAUUAUCGAGGGACUCCCGCAAUCACUGGCCGUUUUCGCCGCAUCGGAGAUGAAUAAACAAUGCGGCAACAGCGACAUUCACACCUGGGUAUCGGUAAGUCAAUUUUACUUGACACUAAAAAGUUUACAAUUCCGCUGCUAUUCGGCGCCGCGUAAUACUUCAAUUGGAUCACAAUUAUUAUUAUAAUUACGCUUGUUACGUCGAUUAUUUAGUAUAAACAGACUCCGCAUCUUAUGCCUUGGAUAAAUUUUUGCUAUGCGUAAAUACGUAUUAACGAUUUAUUACCAAGUGUGUAUCCCUUUCUCGUUAUCCUUGCGCGUGUUUUACUGUAAUCUACGGUUUCGCAAAACAUCGAAUAUAGUGUCUGAUAUACAUAAAUAAAUGCGUCGAGUCUGACAGCCUUCUGAUGCGCAAGAUAGAAAGCAGAAUAAGAUAAUAAGUUAACCCUCUCACAUUCUAUUAUAAUUAUUUCCCUUACUUUGAUACAAACUGCUUCAAUUUGCAUAUUUUUUCGCUUUGAUCUCUUGCUUUUUAUGUGCUUGCUUUAAAACACGGAAUAUUAUAAUUUUGCGUAUGUAAUUUUUUAUGAAAAUUUUACUCCGAAAAAAAGUUAAUUUGUUUUUUGAAGACCAGCGAUGGAAAUACGUGAUAUUAAAACGAGGCGGAGAAAAAACAUGCAACGUUAUUGAUUAUGCAGAAAUUCUACAUAAAAAUUACGUUCAAGUUAACGAGUUCGAUUAUACAAAAUUGAUAUGAAUUUAAAAGUGUAACUUACACAUUUACAAAAAUAUUUUGAUAGCUGUAUGAGAGGGUUAAGAUAAUAAGUUGGCGAAAGAGAAGAUAGUAAGCGAUUCACAGUGAGAGUUAUGGCAGCGUGUGAAAUGUCUGCUGACAAUAAUUGUGAUUAACAAAGUAUGAAGAAGCUCAAACGUAUUUAGCCAAUCGUUUCGAUAAGAAUACACCGUUGAAUGUCUAAUUUACAAAGUAUUGCUAAAACGUCUAAGAAUAAUUUUUCGUGUAAUAAACAUCCUCAUAAUUCGAAAGUAUUAUCUUAACGUUACUUCGAAAUUAACGCUCAUUGUCUGAAUUGAGUUUAAAAGCUUGUUUGUCAUAAGCGCGCGUAUUUUUCUCUCAU